rnacentral:rRNA from 1 species
UACGUAGGUGGCAAGCGUUGUCCGGAUUUACUGGGCGUAAAGGGCGCGUAGGCGGGAUGGCAAGUCGGUCGUGAAAUCCUUCGGCCCAACCGAAGAACGUCGGCCGAUACUGCCGUUCUUGAGGGAUGCAGAGGAGACUGGAAUUCCCGGUGUAGCGGUGAAAUGUGUAGAGAUCGGGAGGAACACCGGUGGCGAAGGCGGGUCUCUGGGCAUUUCCGGACGCUGAGGCGCGAAAGCGUGGGGAGCAAACGGG